rnacentral:rRNA from 1 species
GAGUUUGAUCCUGGCUCAAGAUGAACGCUGGCGGCGUGCCUAACACAUGCAAGUCGAACGGGGUAUAUAAGCGGAAGUUUACGGAUGGAAGGUUAUAUACUUAGUGGCGGACGGGUGAGUAACGCGUGGGCAACCUGCCCCGUGCCGGGGGAUACCGCCUGGAAACAGGCGCUAAUACCGCAUAAGCGCAUACAGCCGCAUGGGUGUAUGCGGAAAGCUCCGGCGGCACGGGAUGGGCCCGCGCCCGAUUAGCCAGUUGGCGGGGUAACGGCCCACCAAAGCGACGAUCGGUAGCCGGCCUGAGAGGGCGGACGGCCACAUUGGGACUGAGACACGGCCCAAACUCCUACGGGAGGCAGCAGUGGGGAAUAUUGCACAAUGGGGGAAACCCUGAUGCAGCAACGCCGCGUGGGUGAAGGAGCGUUUCGGCGCGUAAAGCCCUGUCAGCGGGGAAGAAGAAAGACGGUACCCGACCAAGAAGCCCCGGCUAACUACGUGCCAGCAGCCGCGGUAAUACGUAGGGGGCGAGCGUUAUCCGGAAUUACUGGGUGUAAAGGGAGCGUAGACGGCGAGGUAAGCCUGAAGUGGAAGCCCGCGGCCCAACCGCGGAACUGCUUUGGGAACUGUUUUGCUGGANUAUGGGAAGGG